UCCUACGGGAGGCAGCAGUAGGGAAUCUUCCGCAAUGGACGAAAGUCUGACGGAGCAACGCCGCGUGAGUGAUGAAGGUUUUCGGAUCGUAAAACUCUGUUGUUAGGGAAGAACAAGUACGAGAGUAACUGCUCGUACCUUGACGGUACCUAACCAGAAAGCCACGGCUAACUACGUGCCAGCAGCCGCGGUAAUACGUAGGUGGCAAGCGUUGUCCGGAAUUAUUGGGCGUAAAGCGCGCGCAGGCGGUCCUUUAAGUCUGAUGUGAAAGCCCACGGCUCAACCGUGGAGGGUCAUUGGAAACUGGGGGACUUGAGUGCAGGAGAGAAGAGUGGAAUUCCACGUGUAGCGGUGAAAUGCGUAGAGAUGUGGAGGAACACCAGUGGCGAAGGCGACUCUUUGGCCUGUAACUGACGCUGAGGCGCGAAAGCGUGGGGAGCAAACAGGAUUAGAUGCCCUGGUAGUCCACGCCGUAAACGAUGAGUGCUAAGUGUUAGAGGGUUUCCGCCCUUUAGUGCUGCAGUAAACGCAUUAAGCACUCCGCCUGGGGAGUACGGCCGCAAGGCUGAAACUCAAAGGAAUUGACGGA
rnacentral:rRNA from 1 species